UAAAAGGUGUGAAGCACAGGCUUUACAUCCGGCACAAUGCCAAUUUAUUUUAGUCUGCAAUACUGAGUAUUGAGCAAGUAAAGGAAAAACAUCUUCCUCUCCAAGGUGGGCCUUAAUUCCUUGGUGACAAUUACCGGUCUUUCCCAAAAGCCAAAAGUGCAAUAUUUCAGGGUUUGUCAUCAAGAAUUUUCUUUUAACCCACCCUUCACAUCUUUACUGCCUCCUGCUCCCCACCCACUUUCAGCACAUUUAAAAUCAGUCCAAAACUUUUCCCAGCCUUCAAGUGUCUGAGACCUGAUUCAUUUCAUGGACAUAUUAAAACACACUUGGACCCAGCCAAUGUGUGACCAGUUUUACUUGUCUUUCUUCUAUGCUUGUAAUAGAAUUUGUAUAGUACAAUAAAAUAUCUGGAAUCACAUCACAUUUUUUAUCUUCUGUUUCCUUGAGUUGGGAUAGUUUUGCCAGGAUGCCAUUGAAGAAAGUUACUUCACCAUGAUGGUGCUAGGAAGAAAACCAACCAAACAAACAAAAAGUCCAGUAUUCUUGCAGCUUCUAAGCUUGAAAGUCAGAAGGACUUUCCAACCAUUUAAUUUCCCUGAUUUUUUACAUACCCUUGUUUCUAAACGAUUAACCUUUUUUUUCCCCAGAGUGAUUAGUUUUAUAGAAUGUGUAUUUUAGCUUUUGGAAGAAAAUUCAGAAAACCUGAACCUCAUAGGUCUCUGUAACUUCCAUACCUCCAUGUGGCAUCAAUUUGGGAAUUUACCCAGGUGUCCACCCUCCUGUGUCUCUUCCUCUUCCUCCUCAACCUCCUCCUCCUCAUUGCUGUUGAAUAGACAGCACAUGUACAUGAAAACAAUUACAAACUACAGAGGUUUUUACUAAUAAAAUAGUCCUCUUUCCUGUGUCUUCCAGAAAUCCUGCUUCGGAGCUGUGUCCUUUGUCUGCAUCUUCUUUCUGAGACCCACUUUUGCACACAUAGACCUAUAAUCCUUGCUCCAUCUUCACAAACGUUCACAUAGCACACACUGUUUGUUUUGCAUCUUACUUUGAGUCCAUGAAAAAUGCAUCUUACACAGCAUUUCCAUAUCAUAACAUGUAGAGCUGGCUCAUUCUUUUGAAUAUGUACAAAUAAUUUUAUUGGGCACAUGUACUGUGAUUUAUUUAACCAGUCUCCUACUAGGAUAUGCUUAGCUUGUUCCCAAUCUUUAUUUUAUAUCAUGCCACAAAAAGUAUUUUAUGCACAUAUCAUAUUGUAUGUGUGUACACAUAUCUGUCUCCUAAAUGCUUAGAAGUUGAGCCAAAGAAAGAGAUUGCCAAAUUCUAUAGACCAGUUGGAUUAUCCUGUGAAAGGGAAGAUUUCAAAAAUAAAAAUAAUGACAUAGUACUUAGAAUAGGCAAGAGUAGUAUUUCAAAUGGCAAUAAUUUGGGAGUGCCUUUUAGUUUUUCUUGCUACAUCUCGGUCCAUCUAGAAAGAUGAUCCGUGGAACCUGGGAAGAGAGAACCAUAUCUUCCCAGUUCCAAGUCAGCUAUUUUUUUUACUCCCUAAAAUCAGAUGGACAUUAUAUUCAGUAGUUUCUUACAAUUAUAUUCUGCAGAGUUUUGGUGAAUAUUUUAGUGUUACACGAAUUAAGACAUGUCUUAUAAUCAGUGGGGUUUAAAUUCUAAUAAAACAUGGUACUUUUUAUAAUGGAAAUCGGAUCAGAUUAUUGUGGUUUAGAAAGAAAAAAACUUUAUUAGCCUUUUUUCAAAUAUGUUAUCUAGAUAAGUUUUCAAUUUAGUGCAAAAUCUUUAGGUUAAUAACUCAAUACUAUUUUUAUUAUCAGUGCUGUAUUUUACUGUCAAUUGGACCCAUCUUGAAUUUUUGAAGGAAAGAGAUGAAUUGCUACUCAUUCUUGUGCUUAUUUAUUAAGUAGUCAGAAUUAUCCAUUUAAAUAUGCAUCAUGUCCUACACUCUCAAACUCAAAAUUCUUCAUGUUUUACAUUUUCUCAUUUCUCUUUGAAUUAAUUCUAACUAAUGUAUUUGCAAAUAAUCCCCCUCAUUAGAGGGGGAAAAAAGCUUCGUGAGGUCAGGUUUCUUUUUUCUCUUUCUUUCUUUAUUAUUAUUAUUUUUUGCUAUCACUGUACCUUCAGUGACUGGCUUGGAAUAAACACUUGAUAAAUAAAUAUAUGUUGAGUGAAUGUAUGAUGUGGCCCCACCCUAGUUCCUAAAACCGAGAAAAAAAAAACCCAAAAGCCAAUUUCACUCAAAAUGC
rnacentral:lncRNA from 1 species